AUGUGUGUGCCAAAAGAUAAGUGUGGAAUGGGAUUCAGAGAUUUGCAUUGUUUUAAUUUAGCUCUUUUAGCGAAGCAAUGUUGGAGGCUUUUGUGUGAACCAGAAUCUUUAUGUGCUAAAGUGUUGAGAGCCAAAUAUUUUCCUGAUGGAGACCUUCUUAAUUGCAACCUUAAGAAAGGUAGCUCGUAUACUUGGCAGAGUUUGUAGAGUGGUAUUCAGUCUUUUAAGAUAUGGCAUAUUUGGAGAGUCAGUGAUGGAUCCCAAAUCAAUAUUUGGGAAGACCCAUGGAUACCUCGUAGCCCCUCUCGGAAGGUAAUGACACCAAGAGGUAAUAUUGUGAUUACAAAAGUUUCUGAGCUUAUUGAUACAGAGAAUAGGGUGUGGGAUGAACAGUUGAUAAUGGAGUUGUUUUGGCCUAUCGAUGCGCAUCGCAUUUUAAACAUCCCACUAGCUUUGUGAAUGAUGAGUGAUUUUGUUUCAUGGCACUGUAAUAGAAGUGGUUAUUUCACAGUCAGAUCAGCUACCAUGAAGAGUGGGACCAUCAGCACGGACGAAAGGUGA
rnacentral:rRNA from 1 species